rnacentral:rRNA from 1 species
UACGGGGGGGGCAAGCGUUGUUCGGAAUUACUGGGCGUAAAGGGCUCGUAGGCGGCCAACUAAGUCGGACGUGAAAUCCCCAGGCUCAACCUGGGAACUGCGUCCGAUACUGGAUGGCUUGAAUUCGGGAGAGGGAUGCAGAAUUCCAGGUGUAGCGGUGAAAUGCGUAGAUAUCUGGAGGAAUACCGGUGGCGAAGGCGGCAUCCUGGACCGACAUCGACGCUGAGGAGCGAAAGCUAGGGGAGCAAACGGG